UUUUGUAAGAAUUUCUUUUAAUCAAACACUAGUCGAUAGUCAUCAUGAUGAAGGGUGUUGCAACAAAGAAUUUUCAUCUUUUGAGGACUAUCUUUUUGCUAUACUCCAUUUUAAUAGUGACAGAAGCAGCAGGAAUUGGAAGAAGAGAAUUAAUUGGAACAAAACAAGCUUAUGCAAGUGAAACAAAGCCUUUUGAAAUGGAGAAAAAUACAAACUCUCAAGUUGAUGAUUCUAUAGUGAUUGACUAUACACCAGUUCAUACAUCGCCGGAAAGUUCACCACAUGGUCUACUACCAUCUACGUAGUGAUGUACGCACAAAUUUUAAUAAGCAAUGUCGAUAUUUAAUAAGAUUCUCAACGCGCUUGUUGUAAGAGAGGAAAUGAGAUCUCUUGCUCUCUUACAAUUUGAAUAGA